rnacentral:SRP_RNA from 1 species
GCCUGGCAUGGUGGCUCAUGCCAGUAAUCCGAGCUACCUGGGAGGCUGAGAUUGGGAGGAUCUCUUGAGCCCAGGAGUUUGAGGCUGCAGUGAGCUAUGAUGACACCACUGCACUCCAGCCUGGGCAACAGAGUGAGACCCCAUCUCUA